CAGUAGCCGCGGUAAUACAUAGGUGGCAAGCAUUGUCCGGAAUUAUUGGGCGUAAAGGGCUCGCAGGCGGUUUCUUAAGUCUGAUGUGAAAGCCCCCGGCUCAACCGGGGAGGGUCAUUGGAAACUGGGAAACUUGAGUGCAGAAGAGGAGAGUGGAAUUCCACGUGUAGCGGUGAAAUGCGUAGAGAUGUGGAGGAACACCAGUGGCGAAGGCGACUCUCUGGUCUGUAACUGACGCUGAGGAGCGAAAGCGUGGGGAGCGAACAGGAUUAGAUACCCGUGUAGUCCCUGUCUCUUAUAC
rnacentral:rRNA from 1 species